GUAUAUGAAAUAAAUAUUAUUCUAAGGAAUCAAAAUUACUAAUACUUAAAGUUGAUAAAAAGGUAAAUAAACCGAUCAAAUCAUGAAAAUGAGAAAAAGAAAAAGAAAGUGGAAUGAAACAUCUGAGUAACUUUUGAAAUAAAUCAACAGAGAUAAUAUAAGUAACGGUGAGUGAAAGUAUAAAAAGUCUAUAAGUAUCACUAAGGAGUGAGAAUAAAGUAGUAUUCUACUACUAAGACAAUAAAUAAGUAUUAAGUGUAAAGUACUGUGAAGGAAAUGAAAAAGAUAGAAAUAGAAUAAUAAAGAGCAAUAAUAGUAUUAUGUACCUUUUGUAUAAUGGGCCAGUGAGUUAUAUAUAUUAGUGAAAAUAAAAAUAUUUAUAAUAAAAAUGAUUACCUAAAAAAGGAAAAUAUCAAAUUAAAAUUAAUAUAUAUAGGCCCGAAAGCAAACGAUCUACACAUGUCCAAGUAUAAUAAUAAUCUUUAUUAUUAUGACUCAAUAGGUAGAUGUAGCAAAAUCUUCUAAAGAGGUGUGUGUAGUAGUGACAGGCAAAUCUGGUUUGCAAAUAGCUGGUUUUCUGCGAAAUAUAUAUAAGUAUAGCCUUUAAUAUAUUAUAAACUGGUACAGCACUUAAAUAGAAAUGGGGAAAUGUAGUAAUUUCUUCACCAUAUUUAAAACUCGGAACAGUAAUAUAUAACAUAAAUAUGUAAAUAUUAAGGAGUCAGAUUUAUUGCGAUAAGGUAGUAAAUCUAAAAGGAAACAACCUAGAUUAUAAAAUGUAUGUCCCAAAAAGAAUAUAUUAUUAAGUGAACAUAAUCUACAACUUUUUUCACCUUUGGGUGGAAAUAUAAUAGACAAUCAGUCAGCGGGUUUAGUAAUAAUCAUCUGAUAAUGGACAUGUAACAAUGCACUGAAAUAAAAUAUCAUCGAAAGAUGAUUCAUUAAAGAAGUAGAGAAGAUAUACGGGUCUAAAUAAAAUACAGAAUUAUAAAUAAUAUUAGAGAUAAUGUUAUGGUAGCAGAAUAUAUGAUGAUAAGAAUCAUAAAGAGAAUGCUGGCUUGAGUAACGGUAGAUAAUAGAAGAUUAUCCUCCAAUUCAUAAGGGUUAAAAAUAAAAAUAUGUAACAAACGGUCCCUAAGAUGAAAUUGAAAAAUGAAGUUGAUGGGAGAAAAAACAGGAAAAGGAAAAUAAACCGUACUGUAGACCGACACUGGUAUGAAAAAAGGAGAAUGAGUGAACUAUCAUGAAUGAACUCGGCAAAUAUAGUAAAAAGCUAUGAAUCGUGCGACUGUUUAUCAAAAACAUAGCUUACUGCAAACUAGAAAUAGUAAGUAAAGUAAGUGAUAUCUGCCCGGUGUAUAAUUAAUAAAUUAUAGAUACUUAUAUAAGUUCUAUUAUAAAAUAUAUAUAAACGGCGGUCUUAUCUUGAGGAUCCGAAGGUAGCGAAAUUCAUUGACGCAUAAUUGGUGUCCUGCAUGAAUGAUUAUACGAUGCGAUAACUGUAUCCAUGAUAGACUCAGUGAAAUAGCAAUCGCGGUUAAGAUGCCGUGUACCCGUAGUUUGACAAGAAGACCCUAUGCAGCUUUACUAUAUUUUUUCUUUGAUAUUUGUUUUCUAAAUCUCAGCAGAUUAGGUUCUAUUUAUAAAUAUAUAUUAAUAUAAUAUAUAUUUUUAUAUAAAUAAAAUGAAAUACCUAUAUUUAUUUAAACAAAUCUUACUUAUAAAUAUAUUAGUAAUACUAAUAUAUAAUCAUAUAGGAAAAUCAUUUAUCUUUUGAUAUAAAGACAUAGAAAAUUGGUUAGUUUCGAUGGGGCGUCGACAUCAGAGAGAGCAUCUGAUGUGUCUAAUUAUAUCUCAUUCCUUGAGAAGAGAAAAUAUAAAUAUUAUAUAUAAUAAAAUAAAAUAAAACGUACAAUAUAUCUAUAUUGAAAAUAGAAUAAUAUGUAAGGAUAACAACAUAAUUGUGCGAUGAUAAUGACACUAACAAGUGAAAUUAGUACUUACGUAGAGUGUAGUGAACAGGCAUAAACAAUAGAUAUGGAUGUCGACAACGGAUUAAAGUUACGCUAGGGAUAACAGGGUAAUACCGCAUUAGAGUACAUAUCGACAGCGGUGUUUGCCACCUCGAUGUCGUCUAGACUCAUCCUCCUGGCGUAGCAACUAGGAAGGGUAGGACUGUUCGUCCUUUAAGGAGUCACUUGAGAUGGGUUAAUUACGACGUGAGUCAGUAAUGUUUUUAUCAUCUAUGGGAUUUAACUUAUUUGAAGCCUUAGGUGUACGAAAGGAUAUUAAGGUGCUUUCCUAUGGUUAUAUGUUUCAAAUUAUAUAAUAAUUUGCACAUUUAUGCUAAGAAAGUUAAGGAUACAUAUUGAACGAAUAUAAAAUAUUAAGCCUAUCAAUUAAGUAUAACAUAUUAGAUUAAUAUGUAAUAGUAAUAUAUAUCAUCUUGUGAAUAUUACUAAUGAAUUUAUAUCAUAUACCA
rfam:Hyphopichia burtonii NRRL Y-1933 unplaced genomic scaffold HYPBTscaffold_15, whole genome shotgun sequence.